UGUUAAAUCAUGUAUUUCGGCAUGAAGUUAUGUGUUUUAAUAAAAUAUAUCCUGGAACAAAAAUUGUAUAUGACAGUGGUGGUGAUAAUCAUAUGCAAAAAAACAUUAACAAAUAUCAUGCAUUGGAUUUUAAACAUGGUAGAAAAGGUACGAACCAAUUAGAACACACAUUUGAGAAUGAUUUAUAUUUUGAUGAUUAUUUCAACGAUUUUAUGAAAAGUAGAAAACAGGUAAAUAGUUUACAACAGAAUGGAGAUAUAGAUUACGACAUCCUUAAUAAAAUAUAUAAACCUACCCCUUUUAAAUAUGGAUUAAUAGAUAGGAAUGCAGAAUAUAUAUUGAAACAAGGUAGAUUGCAAAAAGCAAUGGAGUUAGAAAUAAAAACAAGAAAAGUGAAAGGUGUUAAUCAUUUAUUUAAUAUGCAGUUUGAUAUGUCCAGAAAUGAAAUGACACAAUACAAAGAAGAUGAUAUAAUUAGUGACGACUGGAAAUCGGAUGAUAGUGGUAUGGGGAGUAGUACUAGUCGUAAUAGUAUGAUGGUUGUUAGAAAUGGUGAAAGUGGUAGUGGUGGUAGUAGUGGUAGUAGUAGUGGUGGUAUUAGCAUUAGUAGUAGUAGUGGUAGUGGUAGUGGUAGUGGUAGUGGUAGUAGUGCCUAUAUGAGUGGUCCCGAUAGGACAAAAAGUAAACUAAGGAAUAAUUCACGAAGUCGUAAUAAUGUUUCAAUAGGAACAUCUAAAAGGAAGAAAAAUAAAAAAAAUACGAAUACAAGGAUGUUAAACAGUAAAGGGUUUCAAAAAAUUAAUAAUAUAUAUAAUAAACAAGAGUCUAAAAAAAAGCUACUAACAUCUGAAAAAAAUAUGAGUGGUAAUUUUGCUUACGACUAUUUAACAAACAAAACAUUUAAUGUUAUAUUUUUAAAAAAUAUAAAUUUGGAUAAUAGAUCGUUUCAUAAACUAUCAAGAGGAUUGUUGUUGUUAGUUAGUCGAUUAUUGAAACCAGUUAUAUUUCUUCGAUUGUUUCGAUAUGAGAAAUUUAAAU
rnacentral:lncRNA from 1 species